UUGCUCUGACCUCGGAUCAG
rnacentral:rRNA from 2 species